UGGGUCGUCCACACAAAAGGCCCUGUUGGAAAGUGUGACUCAGCACAGAUGCUGGCUUUCCCAGAGACGUCAGUGGACCUCCCCCCUGCCAAUCUUCCCUGGCCUGUAGAGUUUAGCCCCUCCCUGAGGCCAUGUGCAGUUAAGGCAGAAUCACAUACAGCAGGCAGUGUGGAGUCAACGAGCCCAGCUGAGAUGGUCUUUUGCAAGCAGAGAUGGACAGAUUUCCAAAGAUGCAAGUUGUUUGGCUGGGAGGAUAGUCAAGGACAGGUAAGUUCAACACAGUGUUCUUGGUGUCUGUGCUUUAUAUUUUAUACGUGUGGUUUUCCGUCAGAGAAUCUCUGAUCUUGUGAUAUUUCACUUUAUCAGCCACUGAUCCUCAAUGAACGUCACUGUUGGAUCAAUAAAAUCUCUUUUAACACA
rnacentral:lncRNA from 1 species